AAACGGUAGCUAAUACCGCAUAACGUCACAAGACCAAAGAGGGGGACCUUCGGGCCUCUUGCCAUCGGAUGUGCCCAUAUGGGAUUAGCUAGUAGGUGGGGUAACGGCUCACCUAGGCGACGAUCCCUAGCUGGUCUGAGAGGAUGACCAGCCACACUGGAACUGAGACACGGUCCAGACUCCUACGGGAGGCAGCAGUGGGGAAUAUUGCACAAUGGGCGCAAGCCUGAUGCAGCCAUGCCGCGUGUAUGAAGAAGGCCUUCGGGUUGUAAAGUACUUUCAGCGGGGAGGAAGGGAGUAAAGUUAAUACCUUUGCUCAUUGACGUUACCCGCAGAAGAAGCACCGGCUAACUCCGUGCCAGUAUCCGUUGUAAUACAGAAGGUGCAAGCGUUAAUCGGAAUUACUGGGCGUAAAGCGCACGCAGGCGGUCUGUUAGGUCGGAUGUGCGAUCCCCGAGCGCAGGCUGUCU
rnacentral:rRNA from 1 species